rnacentral:tRNA from 1 species
GGCAUAUAGCUCAGUGGCACAAGCGUCUGCCUAACAAGCACAGGGUCCCAGGUUCGAUUCUUGGUAUCCA